rnacentral:rRNA from 1 species
GCCUUAGUAACGGCGAGUGAAGCGGCAACAGCUCAAAUUUGAAAGCUGGCCCUUUUAGGGUCCGCGUUGUAAUUUGUAGAGGAUGAUUCGGCGAGGGCUCCUGCCUAAGUCCCCUGGAACGGGGCGUCAUAGAGGGUGAGAAUCCCGUAUGCGGUAGGUUGCCUUAGCCAUGUGAAUCUCCUUCGACGAGUCGAGUUGUUUGGGAAUGCAGCUCUAAAUGGGAGGUAAAUUUCUUCUAAAGCUAAAUACUGGCCAGAGACCGAUAGCGCACAAGUAGAGUGAUCGAAAGAUGAAAAGCACUUUGGAAAGAGAGUUAAAAAGUACGUGAAAUUGUUGAAAGGGAAGCGCUUGCAACCAGACUUGUCCGCAGUUGCUCAGCCGGUCUCCUGACCGGCGUACUCUUCUGCGGCCAGGCCAGCAUCAGUUCGGGCGGUCGGAUAAAGGCCUCGGGAAUGUAGCUCCUCUCGGGGAGUGUUAUAGCCCGGGGUGGAAUGCGACCAGCCUGGACUGAGGAUCUCGCUUCGGCAAGGAUGCUGGCGUAAUGGUUGUAAGCGGCCCGUCUUGAAACACGGACCAAGGAGUCUAACAUCUAUGCGAGUGUUCGGGUGUCAAACCCGUACGCGUAAUGAAAGUGAACGGAGGUGGGAACCCGCAAGGGUGCACCAUCGGCCGAUCCUGAUGUCUUCGGAUGGAUUUGAGCAAGAGCAUAGCUGUUGGGACCCGAAAGAUGGUGAACUAUGCCUGAAUAGGGUGAAGCCAGAGGAAACUCUGGUGGAGGCUCGCAGCGGUUCUGACGUGCAAAUCGAUCGUCAAAUUUGGGUAUAGGGGCGAAAGACUAAUCGAACCAUCUAGUAGCUGGGUUCCUGCCGAAGUUUCCCUC